GGGUUGUGAGGUUAAGCGACUAAGCGUACACGGUGGAUGCCCUGGCAGUCAGAGGCGAUGAAGGACGUGCUAAUCUGCGAUAAGCGUCGGUAAGGUGAUAUGAACCGUUAUAACCGGCGAUUUCCGAAUGGGGAAACCCAGUGUGAUUCGUCACACUAUCAUUAACUGAAUCCAUAGGUUAAUGAGGCGAACCGGGGGAACUGAAACAUCUAAGUACCCCGAGGAAAAGAAAUCAACCGAGAUUCCCCCAGUAGCGGCGAGCGAACGGGGAGCAGCCCAGAGCCUGAAUCAGUGUGUGUGUUAGUGGAAGCGUCUGGAAAGGCGCGCGAUACAGGGUGACAGCCCCGUACACAAAAAUGCACAUGCUGUGAGCUCGAUGAGUAGGGCGGGACACGUGGUAUCCUGUCUGAAUAUGGGGGGACCAUCCUCCAAGGCUAAAUACUCCUGACUGACCGAUAGUGAACCAGUACCGUGAGGGAAAGGCGAAAAGAACCCCGGCGAGGGGAGUGAAAAAGAACCUGAAACCGUGUACGUACAAGCAGUGGGAGCACGCUUAGGCGUGUGACUGCGUACCUUUUGUAUAAUGGGUCAGCGACUUAUAUUCUGUAGCAAGGUUAACCGAAUAGGGGAGCCGAAGGGAAACCGAGUCUUAACUGGGCGUUAAGUUGCAGGGUAUAGACCCGAAACCCGGUGAUCUAGCCAUGGGCAGGUUGAAGGUUGGGUAACACUAACUGGAGGACCGAACCGACUAAUGUUGAAAAAUUAGCGGAUGACUUGUGGCUGGGGGUGAAAGGCCAAUCAAACCGGGAGAUAGCUGGUUCUCCCCGAAAGCUAUUUAGGUAGCGCCUCGUGAAUUCAUCUCCGGGGGUAGAGCACUGUUUCGGCAAGGGGGUCAUCCCGACUUACCAACCCGAUGCAAACUGCGAAUACCGGAGAAUGUUAUCACGGGAGACACACGGCGGGUGCUAACGUCCGUCGUGAAGAGGGAAACAACCCAGACCGCCAGCUAAGGUCCCAAAGUCAUGGUUAAGUGGGAAACGAUGUGGGAAGGCCCAGACAGCCAGGAUGUUGGCUUAGAAGCAGCCAUCAUUUAAAGAAAGCGUAAUAGCUCACUGGUCGAGUCGGCCUGCGCGGAAGAUGUAACGGGGCUAAACCAUGCACCGAAGCUGCGGCAGCGACGCUUAUGCGUUGUUGGGUAGGGGAGCGUUCUGUAAGCCUGCGAAGGUGUGCUGUGAGGCAUGCUGGAGGUAUCAGAAGUGCGAAUGCUGACAUAAGUAACGAUAAAGCGGGUGAAAAGCCCGCUCGCCGGAAGACCAAGGGUUCCUGUCCAACGUUAAUCGGGGCAGGGUGAGUCGACCCCUAAGGCGAGGCCGAAAGGCGUAGUCGAUGGGAAACAGGUUAAUAUUCCUGUACUUGGUGUUACUGCGAAGGGGGGACGGAGAAGGCUAUGUUGGCCGGGCGACGGUUGUCCCGGUUUAAGCGUGUAGGCUGGUUUUCCAGGCAAAUCCGGAAAAUCAAGGCUGAGGCGUGAUGACGAGGCACUACGGUGCUGAAGCAACAAAUGCCCUGCUUCCAGGAAAAGCCUCUAAGCAUCAGGUAACAUCAAAUCGUACCCCAAACCGACACAGGUGGUCAGGUAGAGAAUACCAAGGCGCUUGAGAGAACUCGGGUGAAGGAACUAGGCAAAAUGGUGCCGUAACUUCGGGAGAAGGCACGCUGAUAUGUAGGUGAAGCGACUUGCUCGUGGAGCUGAAAUCAGUCGAAGAUACCAGCUGGCUGCAACUGUUUAUUAAAAACACAGCACUGUGCAAACACGAAAGUGGACGUAUACGGUGUGACGCCUGCCCGGUGCCGGAAGGUUAAUUGAUGGGGUCAGCGCAAGCGAAGCUCUUGAUCGAAGCCCCGGUAAACGGCGGCCGUAACUAUAACGGUCCUAAGGUAGCGAAAUUCCUUGUCGGGUAAGUUCCGACCUGCACGAAUGGCGUAAUGAUGGCCAGGCUGUCUCCACCCGAGACUCAGUGAAAUUGAACUCGCUGUGAAGAUGCAGUGUACCCGCGGCAAGACGGAAAGACCCCGUGAACCUUUACUAUAGCUUGACACUGAACAUUGAGCCUUGAUGUGUAGGAUAGGUGGGAGGCUUUGAAGUGUGGACGCCAGUCUGCAUGGAGCCGACCUUGAAAUACCACCCUUUAAUGUUUGAUGUUCUAACGUUGACCCGUAAUCCGGGUUGCGGACAGUGUCUGGUGGGUAGUUUGACUGGGGCGGUCUCCUCCUAAAGAGUAACGGAGGAGCACGAAGGUUGGCUAAUCCUGGUCGGACAUCAGGAGGUUAGUGCAAUGGCAUAAGCCAGCUUGACUGCGAGCGUGACGGCGCGAGCAGGUGCGAAAGCAGGUCAUAGUGAUCCGGUGGUUCUGAAUGGAAGGGCCAUCGCUCAACGGAUAAAAGGUACUCCGGGGAUAACAGGCUGAUACCGCCCAAGAGUUCAUAUCGACGGCGGUGUUUGGCACCUCGAUGUCGGCUCAUCACAUCCUGGGGCUGAAGUAGGUCCCAAGGGUAUGGCUGUUCGCCAUUUAAAGUGGUACGCGAGCUGGGUUUAGAACGUCGUGAGACAGUUCGGUCCCUAUCUGCCGUGGGCGCUGGAGAACUGAGGGGGGCUGCUCCUAGUACGAGAGGACCGGAGUGGACGCAUCACUGGUGUUCGGGUUGUCAUGCCAAUGGCACUGCCCGGUAGCUAAAUGCGGAAGAGAUAAGUGCUGAAAGCAUCUAAGCACGAAACUUGCCCCGAGAUGAGUUCUCCCUGACUCCUUGAGAGUCCUGAAGGAACGUUGAAGACGACGACGUUGAUAGGCCGGGUGUGUAAGCGCAGCGAUGCGUUGAGCUAACCGGUACUAAUGAACCGUGAGGCUUAACCUUACAACGCCGAAGGUGUUU
rnacentral:rRNA from 1 species